rnacentral:ncRNA from 1 species
CUUGACUCAACACGAGAAAACUUAUCCGGCCCGGACACAGAAAGGCUUGACAGAUUAAGAACUUGAUUCUGUGGGUGGUGGUGCAUGGCCGUUCUUAGUUGGUGAAGCGAUUUGUCUGGUUAAUUCCGAUAACGAACGAGACUCUAGCCUACUAAGUACGCUCCGAACCUUCGAGUCAGACGUUCUUCUUAAGCCCCGUUCACACCAACGCACGUUCGGGCGGAAAGCGUUGACCAAUCAGAAGCUAGCUCACAGGAGGCAUUUUCCGGACGAACGGAG